rnacentral:rRNA from 1 species
ACGAACGCUGGCGGCAGGCCUAACACAUGCAAGUCGAACGGGUGCCUUCGGGCACUAGUGGCGGACGGGUGAGUAACGCGUGGGAACGUGCCCUUUGGUUCGGAAUAGCCUCGGGAAACUGGGAGUAAUACCGGAUAAGCCCUUCGGGGGAAAGAUUUAUCGCCAAAGGAUCGGCCCGCGUUGGAUUAGGUAGUUGGUGGGGUAAUGGCCUACCAAGCCGACGAUCCAUAGCUGGUUUGAGAGGAUGAUCAGCCACACUGGGACUGAGACACGGCCCAGACUCCUACGGGAGGCAGCAGUGGGGAAUCUUAGACAAUGGGGGAAACCCUGAUCUAGCCAUGCCGCGUGAUCGAUGAAGGCCUUAGGGUUGUAAAGAUCUUUCAGUGGGGAAGAUAAUGACGGUACCCACAGAAGAAGCCCCGGCUAACUCCGU